UACGUAGGGGGCGAGCGUUGUCCGGAUUUAUUGGGCGUAAAGGGCUCGUAGGUGGCCAACUAAGUCAUACGUGAAAUCCCUCGGCUUAACCGGGGAACUGCGUCUGAUACUGGAUGGCUUGAGUUUGGGAGAGGGAUGCGGAAUUCCAGGUGUAGCGGUGAAAUGCGUAGAUAUCUGGAGGAACACCGGUGGCGAAGGCGGCAUCCUGGACCAAUACUGACACUGAGGAGCGAAAGCCAGGGGAGCAAACGGG
rnacentral:rRNA from 1 species